rnacentral:rRNA from 1 species
CCUACGGGAGGCAGCAGUGGGGAAUAUUGCACAAUGGGGGAAACCCUGAUGCAGCGACGCCGCGUGAGUGAAGAAGUAUUUCGGUACGUAAAGCUCUAUCAGCAGGGAAGAAAAUGACGGUACCUGACUAAGAAGCCCCGGCUAACUACGUGCCAGCAGCCGCGGUAAUACGUAGGGGGCAAGCGUUAUCCGGAUUUACUGGGUGUAAAGGGAGCGUAGACGGCAGCGCAAGUCUGGAGUGAAAUCCCAUGGCUUAACCAUGGAACUGCUUUGGAAACUGUGCAGCUAGAGUGCAGGAGAGGUAAGCGGAAUUCCUAGUGUAGCGGGGAAAUGCGUAGAUAUUAGGAGGAACACCAGUGGCGAAGGCGGCUUACUGGACUGUAACUGACGUUGAGGCUCGAAAGCGUGGGGAGCAAACAGGAUUAGAUACCCAGUAGUC